UCCAGUUCAAAUCCAAGUUUAUUAGCCCGUAAAAGUCUGUUUCCACAGUAAUCAUAAGAAAUGAAUGAAUGUUUAUGGAGCACAGCAUAAAAAUAUAGCGAGUCAGCCAUAGGUUGGAGGUUAUGUUGCUCACAAAAAUUAAUCAGCAGGUCACAUGGCAUUGCAUCAAAAAGGCAAAUCAGGUCUAGGAAUGCAAACAAUCAGAACAAAAAGGCAAAACAAGUCAGAGGAGAGUAUCAGAAAGCAAUAAUUAGGUUCACAGCUCCUAAUCUGGGUGGCAGAUCUCUUUAGACCAGGUUAUUUACCCUACUAAUUGUCCAAAGCCAGCUUGAAAGCCAGUGGUUCAGUUUUGCAUUAAACCACGCAUCCUCAGCCAACACAUCAGCUGGCCAAAUGAGCUACCCAGCCCUAGGCAUGAGCAUCAACACGCAGGCACAUAAGAGACAAAGCACACUUCUCACAGAGUGGGAACCACACUGGUGGUUCAGACACCCAGCCAGAAACAGAAUCUCUGCAAGACACGCGGGCCAAGUUGUUCUAGGCACCACCCUGAUGUGCAAGCCUUCUUUCUGCCUACAAGCCCCCCAGCACCUUCACUGCAAUCAGAAGGAUCAGGAGGUUUGCCUGUCUCCCAGACCCUGUUUACCCUAAUGUUGGUCUUCUUCAGUGCUGCAUCUGAUUGCCAAAGGCAAUCACAGGCUAUAUAGGAAAGCAUCCACAUUAGGAGAGGUGGGCCAGCAACAGGAGCUAGCUCUUUUCUCUCUCCUCCCAAAGAAAAAAGUCUAGCAAACCAGACCUCUAUUUCUUCCACUUUUUAUUUAUUUUGCCUGAAGAAGUGCAGAUGGCUAGUGCUAUUAACUCUGUAACAAGGGCAGAUGUAGAGGAGUAAGGAAAGAAAGGUGUUUUCUUCUCAGCUGGAGGAUGCUUAUACACAUUAUAAACAGAGCUGGGGAAAACCGCUCUGAAUAAUUAGUCUGGGCUCUGUUUGACAUGGCAACAUCUGACCACCUGCCCACAAGGAUUCUGACUGCUUUAUAGCAAAGAUCCUGCACUCAGCAAGGCAGAGAUGGCUUACACAGACUGAUGAACCCCCAAUUACGGGAUCUUCUCAUGGGGCAGUCAGCUUAGAUUAAGACUUAGACUUAACUUAGACCUUCAAAGCCCAGUAACCCACUGGGGCUCAUGUCUAAAAUCCUCUUUUUCAGGGAAUGGGCAGUAGAAUUACAAACUAUUCCAGCUUAUUGAAUAAUGCCACAACCCUUUCACAUAGUUACUUAGAACAAUAGAACCCCUUAUUUCCUGAACAUUACAGCUUUUUUAGGCGGCACAGACUUGUUUUAUUACGAGAUUACUACACACAUUUCCUUCACCUUCACUCUCUAAGGCAAAACUGCUGCUCUACAGGUCCCUGCUACCCAGCCAAACAUGUCUAUCCUAAAAGCCAAACGGCAAAUUGAAUCAAGGCAACGGUGGGAAAAGAUUCUGAUAGCUAAGCUCACACUGAACUUCACCUUCCUUCCUCGGAUAGGUCCAGUCGUCUCAAACUUCAUUGUAUUUCCUACUGAGAUGACGCAUUCCUUAGAUUUUAGGGCCAUCUACCCAUGCCCACCACAUGCUGGUGACCAAGUAAAUCCUUACAGCAAUUUCCUCCAACUUCACAAGUUAUCUAGCAAAGCCCAUGGGAAUCCAGGGAGGACUGCAUCUCCCAGAAAGCAUGUUGCCUCUAUGUACCGCUAGGCCAUUCAUAAUUUCAGACUUGUUCCUUGGAGAAAUAUCAGAGAGAGCUGAAAUGGCUAGUGGCAAAAACAAAUUGAGUCCAGCACAGCCUAGAAGAAUCGAGCUUCUCGCAAAAGAAUAUUUUCCUUCCUGUUAAUAGCUUCACUAAUGAGUUUGUCAGUUUUGGCUUUGAAGAAUUACCUGCUUGUUGUUUGGGUUUGCUGUUUUUUUUGUUUUGUUUUGUUUUGUUUUUUUAAGUAUUUUUUUUUUUAAUUAAAAAACAAAAGCUAUAAAAAGCUGGAGGUAGUUUUAAACUGCAGGGUUCAUAUCUGGGGUGAGUUUUUCUCUGGAGCUGAGGGAUAUUUUUCACUCAGACUAGUAUAAAACAAUACUCCAGGGGAAAAAAAGUUGAAAGAGAAAGCAUUAAAGGAAUAGGAACUCAGAGACCUUUUCCUGCUUCCAAAUCGACCAUCUCAUGAAAUUAGCACAUUUCCUCCCUGUGAAUUCUAUAUCUAAUCCAGAGAGAUCACUGAUUGUGCCUAAGCAAUUUGGCAGCCCCUUUCCUCCUCCUCUUCAAACAACUCAAAGCUUACUCCUGGUGCUGUCUAAUGAGCGAUCUAGGUCUCACAAGAACAUAUAUCCUUACGGAUUUUGAUGAGAGAAGAUGGGAUCAAGGGAAAAUCCACUUCUGUUCCUUUUGGUUUUGAUGCUUUCUCUAAAAACCAAAAGGAUACACCUAGGCUCCCCAGAAAAUCAGCUGGCGUCGAAGGAACCUCACAGCCCCAGGGACCUACCUCUUCUUUCUACCCCUCUCACUCUCCUGCACUGGCACACUGAGCUGACGUUAUGUUCAUAUGAGGCGUAAUGGCAGAGCAAUGACAUUCCAAGCUUCAUGACAAUCAGGGGACAUGCUACCCACUCAACCACACAUUCUCCCGCCUACUGGGCAUGAUGUUAGCGCCAGACUAACACAAAGUAGCACAAAGGAAGAAAAUGGAAAUAAAAAACUGUUUCCUAGGUAUAGCAGGCAAAGAGUAGAACUUCAAACUGAGAAGCAGAAAAACAAAGAGAAGGAUAUUGCUGUCAUUCUCACACAAGCCACACUCGUAAUCCCAAACGCUCCAGUACUGAUGUGACAAUCCACCGUCAGGUCUACAGCCUGCUGCAAGAGUUAGAGAUGAGAUUUCACCAUCAUACACUCUUCCCUAUGAAACUAACUGUUAACUCGUCGCAUCACUCCCACCAGUUCACCUCCAUUAUACAACAGAGGUCUGCACCAAAGGGCUGAAGGCUUUUCUGCAAUCUGUCUUCCUUCUAACUCUACUUUUCAUAGUCUCCACAACUCAACACCAUACUCCUAGUCUUACAAAGGUGGUAUUAUUUUUUCUGCUAUCUUAAACACUUCAGAGCAUAACGUCACCUGCAGGUACACAACUUAUGGGGUUUCCAAUGACUGCCAAUUGCAAAGGACUUAGUUGUGUAGCUAUUGCACCGUCACUUCAUAAGCAUUCAUUCCCAAACGCGUGAUUGAGGUCAGCUUUUGGACCCUCUUCAUCAUUUUGAGGAUUCUUUUUUAAAAGAGGUUUUCGUUGCUUAAGAUCCCACAAACAAAACCUGUUUAUGGAAAAAGAGAGAUAUUUUGAAUACUAAAGUCCUUUAUUCAACAACACAGAAAUAUCACAAAAACAACUUUACUGGGCAAAUUGAAUGUUUUUAUACAGUUUUGUACAUGCCCCAUAAGUGAUUUUUUUUUCAUAAAUACACUGUUUUCCAAAACUGUUUUUUUUUCCAUAAUUGCACAAGCAUACAUACACCUUACACAAAUAUCUAUUAGAAAAUGUAAUAGAUAACUGCACAGUUCAGAAAUAGGAGAACACUGUGAAAGGAGUACAUUUCUGUGGCUCGUGUUUCUGAAAAAAAACCUCCUAGUUCCCUGCAUUUGUGAAAAUGGAGUACUUUCUAACAUAGGAGCUGUCUUUUAUUCACUAAGAAUACAGUAGAGCUCAGCGUGAAACUGCCAAAUUUAAUAAAAACAAAAUCUGAAACAUUUAGCUGUUACAUGAGAAUCCACUGUUUGAUAUCACUAUGCAUCUAACCAUGAUCAAAGACCCACUACUGCUUUUUGCUGAGUGUAUUCGACCCUGAAUGGUAUGUUCAUUUAACUACUUUCUUUCUUCAUUAUUUGAUUACAGAUAUAGCCCAUUUAAAGACUUGAUAUGCUUUAACAUUAAUUGCAUGACUUACAUACCAGGGGUUCUGCACAAAAGAGAGCAUUUCCCCUCUUAGGGGGGGGUCUGUUAUUAAUUUACAGAAUGGGUACGUGCGCCUCCCGUUCAGCCUUACCAUUUUUCCUACAUUUAUCUGGGGUAUGCCAACAAUGCUUCCAUUAGGCUUAGUGUUCACACCUAGAAGACUGUGAAAUUGUGUUCUGCUUUUCUUUUACAACUUCUAACUUUUUUUUUGCGCCGUGUGAAUGAAAGACAUAGAGGAAUACAAAUCUUCAUACUGGAAAAUAUUUUUGGACUUUGAGAAAAGCACAGAUUAGGUCAUUAGAACAUAAAAAAAAAAAAAGAAACCAUUUUACAAAUACGUAUACAACAGGAGAGGGGGAAGGCCAGCAAAGGGAUUUCUUUCUUCAAACAUCCCAAACCAAAAUGCUCUGUGCAUACUACAUCUCAGAAAUGCCAUUUUCCCCAAAUCCAAAACCGCGAUGGCGUAAAAGAACAAUAUCCAAAAUGAAAGCCACAUGGGGAAACCAAAGAAAAAUCAACUCUUGUUCUUUUUCAGUAAUUAACAGGUUUGCUUGUUUGUUUUUUUAACAAUUUUGAAUUGACAUGUAAAACACCACAAUUACAAUAUACAGAUCCAUCAGUUCUUUAAAACAAAACGACAAAACAAAAAAAAAAAAAAAAGAAAGCACAUCAAGACAUGCAACAUUAGGGUAUUAGACAGUAAGUACAUUGCUAUGAAUAUUCUUUGUACACCUAAUGUAGCCUGAAUUUAAUCUUGUCUCUACUUCUUUAAGAACAAUCACAAUUUUCCAAAAAGCAAGGCAAGCUUACCAGCCAGAUGUGCAAAUAAGGCUUCGGUUGAUAAAUCAAUCAGCGUUUUGGUAGAGAAGACCUUAUAGAGCUUGUGUUGGUCAAGCAGUCAACAAUAGAGGCCCUAACCAAAAAGUCUCAAACACAAAGAGAAAUCUGUACACAGUUGACGUAAGAACAGACAUAAAGCUCAUUGUGUGGCGAUCCAACUGAUGACCCCUUAUAAACAAAAGGAGGGGCACUGUGACAGAAGCACUUCGAGAGUAACACUCCAUUUUCAAAGUCAUGCAUGCAAAGCCGUAGGCCUGUGCAUCCACCCUCCAUUCAACCAUGCUCCUCCAGAUACAAUGACCCACCCCUGCCCAGCCCAGCCUUGCUGACACACGCGGGUGAUCUCAGGAGGCUCCUCCUGGAGGACCCUGGCUCCCAAGAGCCUCCUCCCCUGCCAAAGCCGGUGUCCCCUCACCCAUACAGGCCCCACACUGCCACGGUCCCCACCACCCCAGACGCUCCACCUCAUGAGGGUGACUGGGGACCACAGGCUGGAGCACUGAGCACAUUCACAAAGAAACGGCUGAAAUGAGAGAAGAUUUGGGUGGGCUGUGCACCACUGAUCAGUUAUUUCCAUGCCCAGCACCUGUUCUGUGAAACUACUGGUAGUCUUAUUUUGUAUAAAACAAUAAAUCUAUCAACUAUGCGGCACAACGGCAUUCACUUACUUUGACGGGAGGGACUUUUCACUCAUGAAUGGUAUGGCUUUGUCAUACCAAGCAAUAAAAAGUGAUGGUCAACCAGUAUUAAGUAUCGCUAAGUUUCAGUAUCCUCCUUAUUUUUCCCAGCCAUUUCCUCCACGCAGACAGAGCAGGAAGGAGAGCAGCAGAGCAUUCUGCUCAGGGCCUGAGGGAACAGUGGUUUGGCAAAGCCGAGAUCAGUGGACCAAGGACCAUGUAGGGAGAACAGGUCUUUGUUAUUGUAGUAUUUAUAAAUUCAGUUUUAUACCCAAAAAUAUUCAGGUUCUCAAAUAAACACAACUGCAAGUGAGACCCAGUGGUCAAACCUGAACCAUAAAGAGCUCCUCUUGGACCAGAAGUAUUGCAUUCAGCUUUACAAAACAGUUACUCCACUGACCAAAAACUUUACGUAAGAACCCGUACACGGAGGGCAAUGAAGCUGAGUCCUUGUUUAUACUAAGGGCUCGUGCUCACUUCAUUUUGCAUCCUAGAACAAACUUUACGCACAUCUACAUAGGCUGGGCACUUGGCCUUAGAACACAGUGAAAAGUGGGUCAAACACCAUACAGCAUUUUUGGAUGGAUACCCCUAUGUAAAGCUCUUUCGGAAGCAAUGCAAGUGCAUUAACCACUACUCUAACAUAGUGCGUGAAAGAUUAAUCUUACAUUUUAUGUCUUCCCCUCUUAAAACACCACGACGGAAGGUAAUUGCUAGAUGCAUCACAAUCUUUUUAUCUUGCAAAACUUGGUAUCAAGUCUCUAUAGAAGGAUGCAUGGUAAAACAGUGCUGCUGUUGCUGCUGCUGCUAAACAACUAGCAAAAUAAUAUUUAAAGCUAGGAUUUAUUGCUCCGGAUUUAACUCGCAGAACCACACCGUUGUGUACAAACCAUUAAUCUCCAUAGAUGCUCAGACAUGAUUGUCUCCUUGUGUCUAAACACACAAAAUACAAGCGGCUAUCUGUACAGUUUACAGUACUGAAACACAUAUAUUUGAAAAUGAAGUAUAGAUAUGUUACUUUUCAAAGAUACAUGACUUUAUAGCAGGGGUUUACCCAAACUUUUUUUGUUUUUUUUGGCUUUUUUUGUGUUUUUUUUUCUUUUUUUUUUUUACAGCCACUUUAAAAAUAGACAACAACUUCACUAGUAUAGCUAAGUUACAUCAAAGAAAGAAUCAGUGUACUGAAUGUGAAUAAGCUGGCCAAUUCCCCAGGCUCCCAGAUUUUUGUCUUUUGCUUUUGAGGAAACCCCUAUACAGAAAUGAAAAUAGUAUCUGAGUAUAUUCUUCAGUGGUAGACUAAGCAGUUUCUUAAAACAAGACUUUAGCUUGCCAUUCACUUCGGACUGCCUUGAAAAUAAGAUAUACUACUGCUUAAAAGAACCAUCGGAAUGCUUCAGCGCUGGGAACAGGUGUUCUCUAAAAAAAAAGCAAGAAAACAAGUUAAGCUUUCUUUUGUGGCAUUACAACACUCGAUUUCUUCUCUUUGUUCUUUCCCUGUACAUUUCAGGCAUACUCUCAGUUAUCUAGGAACAGCACGAUGCCUCACGCAGCUUGACAAUUCAUAGAAACAUCCCUACUCCAAGCACACGCCAUUACAGGGUCACAUGUGACACGUCGUAGGCAGUAUGUAACAUCCCUAGCAUGCAGUCUCCUUACACAGGCUGUAAGAUGGCUGCUGAGCUCCAGCCAGGGAUGUGGAUUCAUAAUUCAUAAGGAGGUCGGCUGCAGGAAAGGCUCGAGUUCAGAGUGGUAGGAAGCAAUCACACGCCUAAAUUGAUCUCAAAAGAGCUGCCAGACAUGCAAAUGUAUUGAACUCGAUAUAUUGUCUUCGCCUGAAAACUGAACGUAAUGCUCCUCCAUGGGUCCAUCUACCUAAAUACGAAAAACCACAGCUAGCUAGACAGAUUUAAAGGCAUAGCAGCUGAGAUGGCCUUUAUUUAUUUCCUCACAACAUCAGGUUGAGUUACUGUCAGACGCUGUCAUAUCGGCUGGAAGGAAAGGUGCAAUGUCUGAUUAAAAGGUCAUUCAGACCUUUAAAUACGUGGAAUAGUAUUUCUGAAGGGCAAGGCUGUAGUUUAAGAUGUGUGCUUUCAAAAAACCACAAGAUAUAGAAUUUUGCAUCCACAAGCUAAGUUCUAUUUACAGAUAUACAUUUACAAUUAAAUAUCCACUGUGUUAACCCCCCCAGUAUGGAAAUAAAUUUUUCAUCCACGAUAAACAAGAAAGCUUUUAAAAGGGUAGUAGGUGGCCCAAGUUAAAGCAAACCCAAUUUAUGAGACGACGCCUUUAGGGCUUAGCCCUGUGAAAGCCAAUGCUAUUUCAAGACAAAAAAGACCCUGCAGCCCACUCGGUGGCUCAGCUCAAAUGCAGCCUCAAUCUACCGCCCGCACGACUAAACUCGGGAGUCCCAGCUGGGAAAGGCAGCUCUGGAGGAGAUUAGGGCACGCUGUGGUCUCGUGCUCUGCCGGCGGGGUAUCAUUAUCCUGAGUGACAGCGAGGACAGAUUCCCCCGCGCAUCAGGCAAGGAGCAGGCCAGGGGCUGAUCAGCAUUCCUGAAGGCAGCCGUCGCCGUUCGCACUGGUGUAAAUGCUGACAAACGGCAGCCUGGCUCCCAGGAGAAUGCUCAGAAACCCGUAAUGCUGUAAAGCACGGCGGGAUGGAGGAUUUAUCCCUGCACAAGCCUGCUGCCAAACGACCUUCCCGCUUAACACUUGCCAUUGCGUUUUCCUCUCGGCAGCUUUCACCAGGACAUAAGUUUGCUGCAGAAGUGGAAGGUGCUGCUCAGACAUGGUGAAGAUUCUGGGUUUCACAAGGUGAAAAAGCAGAACUGGUGCUGGCCACAUAGAGGAGAAAGACCUUAGGAAAGUCAGCCUUACAAACCCUACAUGAACGUCUCAGCCUGGAGAACCAUCUCUGCUUGAAAUCUCUUCUACAGGAGUGGCAGGUUGGCAAUUAGGCUACUGGAUGCAUAGCAUGAAAUCUAGCCCAAAUGUGUUUUUUUUAUAGUUACACAGUUACACAUUUGUAUGCACAUAUGCAUACAUGUAGAUAGACACAUACACACAAAACUAAAGAGAGAAAUCCAGCGCUACAUGGUGA
ensembl:lncRNA